UACGUAGGCAGCGAGCGUUGUUCGGAAUUAUUGGGCGUAAAGAGCGUGUAGGCGGCUUUGCAGGUCCGCUGUGAAAACUCGAGGCUCAACCUCGAGCUGUCGGUGGAAACCGUAAAGCUAGAGUCCGGAAGAGGAGAGUGGAAUUCCCGGUGUAGCGGUGAAAUGCGCAGAUAUCGGGAAGAACACCCGUGGCGAAGGCGGCUCUCUGGGACGGUACUGACGCUGAGACGCGAAAGCGUGGGGAGCGAACAGG
rnacentral:rRNA from 1 species